rnacentral:rRNA from 1 species
AUUGAACGCUGGCGGCAGGCCUAACACAUGCAAGUCGAGCGGAUGAAGGGAGCUUGCUCCUGGAUUCAGCGGCGGACGGGUGAGUAAUGCCUAGGAAUCUGCCUGGUAGUGGGGGAUAACGUCCGGAAACGGGCGCUAAUACCGCAUACGUCCUGAGGGAGAAAGUGGGGGAUCUUCGGACCUCACGCUAUCAGAUGAGCCUAGGUCGGAUUAGCUAGUUGGUGGGGUAAAGGCCUACCAAGGCGACGAUCCGUAACUGGUCUGAGAGGAUGAUCAGUCACACUGGAGCUGAGACACGGUCCAGACUCCUACGGGAAGCAGCAGUGGGGAAUAUUGGACAAUGGGCGAAAGCCUGAUCCAGCCAUGCCGCGUGUGUGAAGAAGGUCUUCGGAUUGUAAAGCACUUUAAGUUGGGAGGAAGGGCAGUAAGUUAAUACCUUGCUGUUUUGACGUUACCAACAGAAUAAGCACCGGCUAACUUCGUG